GACUUGGUAGCUCAGUUGGUAGAGCGGUGAUGUGGAAUCCCUAAGUCGUGAGUUCGAUCCUCGCUCGGGUUC